CGUCCCGUGAUGCUCCCAAGAGCUCCCUGUUCUCCGGUCAAUGAUUCCGUCGCUGCUGCUCUUCGAAGCCCGACGUUCCCGAGAGCCUCUUCACUUCCGUUCGUCGAUCCCGCCGUAACAGCGCCAGACGGGAAAGCGGCGAGAGUGGCGCUUUCACCCAUCCUUGCAUUCUCAGACACGGCCAGUCGUUGGCUCUCCUCCUGGACGGCUAAUUGAUAGAUCCGGCCGAGUGGCGGCGCGGGUUCCAUUGCAAAUAUUUGCGACCGGAAGGAUGAAUAUGAUUCGUUGAGUAUGAUCCGGCCGCGACAUCGGGUGCUAGGCAAUUUCCGAUCCAAGUGCGAACCAGUUGGUUGCACCGUCGCCGGUGCCGUUGUAGUCGCUCAUCAGUCGGAAAGGGGACGGUUCCGUCGAGGAACCCGUCUUUAUCUUUUGUGACCAGGGCUCGCAGAAGGUCUCGGGCCCAGGCGGUGUAGUUGUCCGGUCCAGCAAGCUGCAAGCUUAUGAGUCGGAGUUCUGGUCCGUCCGCCGGCGAAGUGUACAGAGGGUCGCCGGGUUCUGGGCGGCCGCCGUUUGCUGGAAUCGCGUACAGGAAGAAUUCGGGUUGGAAAACCGGGUAGGGAUUCGCCCCUAGACUCGGAUAGGUGGAUUCAGGUCUGUGACCGUGACCCAUCCAACCCGAUCCACUGUUUUGGUUUGCUCCGGGAGUGGGAGGAACUGGCCCACUUGCAUUCGGCUGUGUUCCGAGUCCUGAAGUUUUAUCCUCUCCGGGUGGCACAUAUUGGGUCCAUGUUUGACUUGAUCCAGUUGGCCACUGGCUUUGAAUCGGAAUCCAUUGGAUUGCUGGCCAUUGGAUCGAGCCAGGAACUUGGACCGGAUUAGUGGGAGAUCCAUCAGAACGUCGCUCAGAAGCACGUUCUUCUUCAGUCAAAUUAAUUUGAUUCGAGGAUUCCUCCAUUGAAGGUUCGUGGAUUUCACCAGUGUUGAUAUCACCGGUGUUGGUGUUUUUGUCGUUUGUCAUGGUAUCAAGAAAUCGAAUUCCUUCCGGUAUUUCCGAUUUGUUUUGCAGGAUAUGAAUUGCAACAACAAACCAGAAAACAAGAAAACGGAGGCAAUUCUAAAAGAUGCGGAAGCUAGGCCAGGAUUGAAGGCUCUGAUACCAUGACAGAAACUAAAGAGAAUUGGGGGAAUUUUUGUAUUGUAUUAUGUUAAUUGUAAACAUGUACAUCCAUCUAUUUAUAAUGUACGAAAAGAGAAAAGAAUAGGAAAUAAUAUACAAGAGAU